rnacentral:rRNA from 1 species
UACGAAGGGGGCUAGCGUUGUUCGGAUUUACUGGGCGUAAAGCGCACGUAGGCGGAUUGGUCAGUUAGGGGUGAAAUCCUGGAGCUCAACUCCAGAACUGCCUUUAAUACUGCCAAUCUCGAGUCCGGAAGAGGUAAGUGGAACUCCUAGUGUAGAGGUGGAAUUCGUAGAUAUUAGGAAGAACACCAGUGGCGAAGGCGGCUUACUGGUCCGGUACUGACGCUGAGGUGCGAAAGCGUGGGAGCAAACAGG